GAAGAAAGCUGCUGGUUGUGUGGACGCGACGCCAUGCUGACUGUUGGCUUAUCCUGAGUAGGGAGUGAAGCGACUGUACCCUCCUCUGUAAAGGCUAGCCUGCAACAUCAAAGAUGAAAAAGUACCAAUCAGUAAUCAGCAUGGCGGCGGUGAGGCUCCACUCGGGCCAGCUCGAGACCCUCCCUCCCCCCGGGGGCGCACUGGGAUACCCCGGCCGAGCCCUCGGAAGUGCACACGGGCGCACAAACAGGAAGGAGAGUCGGCAAGACGAGACGCCACCGCGGACAAAUCUAGCGGAUGAAAGGGGUCCAAAAGCACGCGCGGGUCUAAUCGACGCCGACCUGGCAGCCAGAGCGCGGCGAGGCUUCGGCCCGAGGAGAUCACGUUUGUUCCCUGCAGGACCCAGCUUUUUUUGUUUGCAGCCAACCAACUAAGUGGAUGUGGACUCUCUCCUCGGAUCUCAUCACAGAUUAGCCCGACAUGGGGGGCCCCGCAUCGGACCUCUCCCACGGCCACGCAGACCGCCGCUGAUAAAGAAGCGAGAGCGAGCGCGGGGCAGCACAAAGCCGAGAGAUCAGCGCCCGGCC